GGCUCAGAACGAACGCUGGCGGCGUGCCUAACACAUGCAAGUCGAACGAGAAGUACGUAGCAAUACGUAUUGUAAAGUGGCGCACGGGUGAGUAACACGUGGGUAAUCUGCCCUUGAGUUUGGGAUAACCCCGCGAAAGCGGGGCUAAUACCGAAUAAGACCACGGGGACCAAAGUCUCUGAGGUAAAAGAUGGCCUCUAUUCAUAAGCUAUCACUUAAGGAUGAGCCCGCGGCCCAUUAGCUAGUUGGCGGGGUAAUGGCCCACCAAGGCUAUGAUGGGUAGCUGGUCUGAGAGGACGAUCAGCCACACUGGAACUGAGACACGGUCCAGACUCCUACGGGAGGCAGCAGUGGGGAAUAUUGCGCAAUGGGCGAAAGCCUGACGCAGCAACGCCGCGUGGGGGAUGAAGGUUCUCGGAUUGUAAACCCCUUUCGAUCGGAACGAAUCCCCUCCUGGUAAACAAUCAGGAGGAUCGACGGUACCGAGAGAAGAAGCCACGGCUAACUCUGUGCCAGCAGCCGCGGUAAGACAGAGGUGGCUAGCGUUGUUCGGAUUUAUUGGGCGUAAAGCGCACGCAGGCGGUUUGGUAAGUCAGAGGUGAAAGACUACAGCUUAACUGUGGUAUUGCCUUUGAUACUGCCUUUCUUGAGUAGAGUAGGGGGAAGCGGAAUUCCGAGUGUAGAGGUGAAAUUCGUAGAUAUUCGGAGGAACACCGGUGGCGAAGGCGGCUUCCUGGACUCUAACUGACGCUCAUGUGCGAAAGCGUGGGUAGCAAACAGGAUUAGAUACCCUGGUAGUCCACGCCCUAAACGAUGGGCACUAGGUGUGGGAGGUAUCGACCCCUUCCGUGCCGCAGCUAACGCAUUAAGUGCCCCGCCUGGGGGAGUACGGCCGCAGGUUGAAACUCAAAG
rnacentral:rRNA from 1 species